rnacentral:rRNA from 1 species
UACGGAGGGUGCAAGCGUUAUCCGGAUUCACUGGGUUUAAAGGGUGCGUAGGUGGGCUAGUAAGUCAGUGGUGAAAUCGUCCGGGCUUAACCCGGAAACUGCCAUUGAUACUAUUAGUCUUGAAUACCAUGGAGGUGAGCGGAAUAUGUCAUGUAGCGGUGAAAUGCUUAGAUAUGACAUAGAACACCAAUUGCGAAGGCAGCUCGCUACGCGGUUAUUGACACUGAGGCACGAAAGCGUGGGGAUCAAACAGG